CCUACGGGAGGCAGCAGUGAGGAAUAUUGGUCAAUGGGCGCGAGCCUGAACCAGCCAAGUCGCGUGAGGGAGGACGGCACUACGGGUUGUAAACCUCUUUUGCCGGGGAGCAACGGGCGCCACGUGUGGCGUCACUGAGAGUACCCGGAGAAAAAGCAUCGGCUAACACCGUGCCAGCAGCCGCGGUAAUACGGAGGAUGCGAGCGUUAUCCGGUUUUACUGGGUUUAAAGGGUGAGUAGGCGGAUCGUUAAGUCAGUGGUCAAAUUGAGGGGCUCAAGCCCUUCCCGCCAUUGAAACUGGCGUUCUUGAGUGGAAGAGAAGUAUGCGGAAUGCGUGGUGUAGCGGUGAAAUGCAUAGAUAUCACGCAGAACCCCGAUUGCGAAGGCAGCAUGCCGGCUUCCGACUGACGCUGAAGCACGAAAGCGUGGGGAUCGAACAGGAUUAGAUACCCCGGUAGUC
rnacentral:rRNA from 1 species